rnacentral:rRNA from 1 species
UACAGAGGUCCCAAGCGUUGUUCGGAUUCACUGGGCGUAAAGGGUGCGUAGGUGGUGAGGUAAGUCGGAUGUGAAAGCUCGGAGCUCAACUCCGAAAUGGCAUUGGAAACUACCUUGCUCGAGGGUUGGAGGGGGGGACUGGAAUGCUUGGUGUAGCAGUGAAAUGCGUAGAUAUCAAGCGGAACACCAGUGGCGAAGGCGAGUCCCCUGGACAACUCCUGACACUGAGGCACGAAAGCUAGGGGGAGCAA